UAGUCGCCAGCUCCCCCUCAAGUCGGUUGA
rnacentral:sRNA from 1 species